AGUACAACAAGCAAGUAUUCAGUUUCCUGUUCUUCUUUAAACAAUCACGUGUUCACUUACUGAGAACCUAAAUAUAUCGAACAAAUGAUCUUAAAAGAAGGACAGGAAACUGAGUAUUUGCUUGUUGUACA